UUGUCGGCAAGCGGCAAACGGGUGAGUAAUAUCUGGGGAUCUGCCCAAAAGAGGGGGAUAACUACUAGAAAUGGUAGCUAAUACCGCAUAAAGUUGAAAAACCAAAGUGGGGGACCAUUAAGGCCUCAUGCUUUUGGAUGAACCCAGACGAGAUUAGCUUGUUGGUAAGGUAAAGGCUUACCAAGGCAACGAUCUCUAGCUGGUCUGAGAGGAUAACCAGCCACACUGGAACUGAGACACGGUCCAGACUCCUACGGGAGGCAGCAGUGGGGAAUAUUGCACAAUGGGCGAAAGCCUGAUGCAGCUAUGCCGCGUGUAUGAAGAAGGCCUUAGGGUUGUAAAGUACUUUCAGCAGGGAGGAAAAAAAUAAUACUAAUAAUUUUAUUUCGUGAC
rnacentral:rRNA from 1 species